rnacentral:rRNA from 1 species
GCGGAUCCGCGGCCGCUGCAGAGUUUGAUCCUGGCUCAGGACGAACGCUGGCGGCGUGCCUAACACAUGCAAGUCGAGCGGGGAAUGCAGCAAUGUAUUCCUAGCGGCGGACGGGUGAGUAACGCGUGGGCAACCUGCCCUGCACAGGGGGAUAACACAGGGAAACUUGUGCUAAUACCGCAUAACAUACUUAUAUGGCAUCAUAUAGGUAUCAAAGGAGCAAUCCGGUGCAGGAUGGGCCCGCGUCCGAUUAGCUAGUUGGUAGGGUAACGGCCUACCAAGGCGACGAUCGGUAGCCGAACUGAGAGGUUGGUCGGCCACAUUGGGACUGAGACACGGCCCAGACUCCUACGGGAGGCAGCAGUGGGGAAUAUUGCGCAAUGGGGGGAACCUGACGCAGCAACGCGCGUGGAGGAAGAAGGUCUUCGGAUUGUAAACUCCUUUGAUGAGGGACGAAGGAAGUGACGGUACCUCAGGAACAAGCCACGGCUAACUACGUGCCAGCAGCCGCGGUAAUACGUAGGUGGCGAGCGUUGUCCGGAAUUACUGGGGUGUAAAGGGCGCGUAGGCGGGUUAGCAAGUCAGAUGUGAAAUACCGGGGCUCAACCCCGGGGCUGCAUCUGAAACUGAU